ensembl:lncRNA
CACAUCUCCAAGCCGUGAUGCCUCAACAAGCGAGGAGAAGAUCAUCAUAUCCAGCCUGCCUCCAGGAACCAGCUGCACAUUCAGCAUCUAUGUUGAGGUUAUGAACGGCACAAGGGGAGAGGAACGCAAGACCUCCCAUUAUACCAGGCCAGAGACUGUGCAGCCAGUCAUCUCAGACCACACCAACAACUCCAUCACAGUGAAUUGGAGUCGUCCUAUUGGAAAUGUGGAGUCGUUUGAGGUUCUCCUGAACAGCAGCAGUAACAGCAUCAGGAGCCUUCCGCUGGAUUCAAGUUUCAACUCCUAUGAGUUUAAAAACUUGUCAGCUGGGAAGAUAUACACAGCCACUGUCACAACAAAGAGUGGGCCCUUUAGUGAAGAAUCUGAAGUCACUACCAAUGCAACGUAUCCUAACCCUCCAAGAGAUAUUUUUAUCAAGAAAAAGACUACAAAAUCCAUUUUUGUUGAGUGGGCCCCUGCCUUCUUCAUGGAUGACUCAGAUGGUUUUAACUACACCGUGAUCAUUAGUAGUUCAUCAGGGACUGCAGACUAUAGUACCAA